rnacentral:rRNA from 1 species
GACACGACUCUCGGCAAUGGAUAUCUCGGCUCUCGCACCGAUGAAGAGCGCAGCGAAAUGCGAUACGUGGUGCGAAUUGCAGAAUCCCGCGAAC